GCUAACACCCCGCUAACAUCCCGCUAACACCCCGCUAACACCCCGCUAACAUCCCGCUAACAUCCCGCUAACACGCCACGGUCCCUGCACAGUUUGUUUACCCAAGUGUAGAGAGGCAGGGAGGGAUCCGUCUCCGGCCCCGAGCUGCGGUGUUGUGUGACACACUUAACUAACGUCACUCGGGACCCAGGGAGGUGAGCUGCAGAUACGCCACAUCAACACCAGGGGGCGCUCUUCACGUACUAUUCAAAGAGUCACUUGUGGAAGUUAUGACCAAGUAAAUGAAAAGGUGAGGUGAGGGGUGAAAACUUGACGACUCAAUAUCAAGAGUGUAUAAGUGUGGCGCAAUAGGCCAACAUGUUGGCUUGACGUGACAGAAACUGGGGUGAACAGGGAUCUGUCGUCACUGUCUUGUUCCAGCAUCAUGUUUGUUUUCUCCUUGUCUCGACCCGCUGGGAGCGCCUCCCUCCCCUGCCGGGCUGACAACCUCAGAUGCACGCCAGGAGCCCACCUUCUGUCUGCGGCUGGACCACUUGGCUGCUUCACAAAGGCCUUUCUGGAAUGACAGAGCCCACCAGAGGAAACGACAGCUUGAUCACAAAAAGUCCCUGUGUGACCGUGAUACUGGCUUUCACCUCCGAAAACUCAAACAUCUCAUUCUGAUGUGGUUCGAAGUCAUUGCAGAGGUGGUGGUGCAGAGCCAAUUACUGCUGGGCAAAGUUCUUACACACUCAAGUUACAUUUCCUAUUAGAUGUUCAACCAAUAAAGCUACUAGUUUGAAGUUCACAGGGUAAUUGAACAUGGCAAAUGAAUACAAAUUUAGAGGGCUGUAUGAUAAGGGUCAGGCUGGUAAGAGGAUCUGGAGUCAUUUACUUGAUCUAACAGAAGAAAUGUCACAGUAGGAAUAAAUUCAUUUUUCCCGCCUGAAUGAUAAAAACGCUCACUUUGAAUAUCCUUUGAUGUCACUGUCAUAUGUGCGUGCAGUUUGUAAGACACAAGAUAAUGUGAUGGUUUUCUUUAAAGAUAAGUGGUGUGACGUGGACUCAUGCUGCAUCUUAUCAAGUAAUGCUUCAGCGAUCAAGCAGGACGCCACCGAGAAUCUGCUGCCCCUCUGUCUCCUUGAUGUCCUUCCUCUGCCCCUCACAUUGUCACUAUAGAAUACAGAUAGAGCACUGCCUUCUUCCUGUAUGUAUAGCCCCCUCCUGAAUGAGCACUUCCUCCAUGCAGCAAGUGUAGUGCGGGAGCAGCCUGCAUGUCUUUGUGUCUCUACUGCUGGGCACGUAGCAGUAGGUGUAGGCUGGCUGAGGCAUUGUCAUUCUCUGGAUGACAUGCGCAAGUCAUCCAUUGAUCUCCCACUUUGAAGUGCAUCGCUGCAGGACCCGCGAGAGCUGUCUGUGUUAUGUUGGGGGCUCACGGUGGUCAACAGGGGGCGCCCAAUACCAGAGAGGCCUGAGGCCUCACGACUGGUGCCAGGCUCAUAGACUGCAGCAAUAAAAUUCUCACCUCAUUA